rnacentral:rRNA from 1 species
GAUGAACGCUGGCGGCGUGCCUAAUACAUGCAAGUCGAGCGAACAGACGAGGAGCUUGCUCCUCUGACGUUAGCGGCGGACGGGUGAGUAACACGUGGAUAACCUACCUAUAAGACUGGGAUAACUUCGGGAAACCGGAGCUAAUACCGGAUAAUAUAUUGAACCGCAUGGUUCAAUAGUGAAAGACGGUUUUGCUGUCACUUAUAGAUGGAUCCGCGCCGCAUUAGCUAUUUGGUAAGGUAACGGCUUACCAAGGCAACGAUGCGUAGCCGACCUGAGAGGGUGAUCGGCCACACUGGAAAUGAGACACGGUCCAGACUCCUACGGGAGGCAGCAGUAGGGAAUCUUCCGCAAAGGGCGAAAGCCUGACGGAGCAACGCCGCGUGAGUGAUGAAGGUCUUCGGAUCGUAAAACUCUGUUAUUAGGGAAGAACAAAUGUGUAAGUAACUAUGCACGUCUUGACGGUACCUAAUCAGAAAGCCACGGCUAACUACGUG